rnacentral:rRNA from 1 species
UUCUGAACGUUGACCUCGGAUCAGGUAGGAAUACCCGCUGAACUUAA